rnacentral:rRNA from 1 species
CCUACGGGUGGCAGCAGUGAGGAAUAUUGGUCAAUGGGGGAAACCCUGAUGCAGCGACGCCGCGUGAGCGAGGAAGUCUUUCGGUAUGUACAGCUCUUUCAGCAGGGACGAAAAAAGACGGUACCUGACUCAGAAGCCCCGGCUAACUACGUGCCAGCAGCCGCGGUAAUCCGUCGGGGGCAAGCGUUAUACGUAUUUACUGGGUGUAAAGGGAGCGUAGACGGCAAGGCAAGCCAGAAGUGAAAGGGCAGGGCUCAACCCUGUAAAUGCUUUUGGAACUGUGGUGCUAGAGUGCAGGAGAGGUAAGUGGAAUUCCUAGUGUAGCGGUGAAAUGCGUAGAUAUUAGGAGGAAUACCAGUGGCGAAGGCGGCUUACUGGACUGUAACUGACGUUGAGGCUCGAAAGCGUGGGGAGCAAACAGGAUUAGAUACCCCAGUAGC